CCACUUUCCUGGACGGGGUUAAUGGGCGAUCAUUAAGACACAUGAUCUAGGGCUCUAGGCUAGUGACCUCCAUUACACUUUCAGAGGGGCGCCAGCCUAAGGUCAACCCAAGUGGUCGAGCCACGUCAUAAUUUGGCCGUGGGGGCUUGCGUUCGUGCUACCCCUAC
rfam:Nicotiana attenuata strain TT chromosome 1, whole genome shotgun sequence.